GCCCCGGUGCCUCAUCCGGUAGAGCACAUCCCACAUAAGGCUAAGGCCUUACUGCAGCGGCUCUGGUUCAAAUCCGGCCUGGGCCC